GGGAAUGUGGCUCAGUGGUAGAGUGCUUGCCUAGCAUGCAUGAAGCCAUGACUUCGAUUUCUCAGUUCCA
rfam:Dipodomys ordii contig_51208, whole genome shotgun sequence.